rnacentral:lncRNA from 1 species
CAAGAAGAUUGUCUAUCAUACCCUUGUUGAAUCUUCUACAAGAGUUAGUUUUUUUAACUAAGAAACACGCUCCAAAUGAAUACUACACUUGUCUCUCACUUAUAAAAUUGCUUAAAGAAGCUCCACAUUCUCAACAUAGUUGAGAUAGGUGUUUAUCAUCUCACCCUGAAACGCUUCCAUUCCUUGGAUUCCGACUUUUCUGAUCGUCUUGCUCUUGACAUUGAAGUAGAUGACAUAGGAAGGCACUAUUUGGCAGUGCGGGGAGAAGACGAUUUCUUUGGUACCAACCAUUCCAGCGAUGUACAUGGGCCCCGUAAAUAAGAUUAACAUCCACAACAGGUGGGCUUUUUCAAACUAAGGUACUAGAAAAAAUAGGAAACACACAAAAUGAAAUAGGUGUUGAAAAUUUUAAACUGAUCUUCUUUAAUGGAUUAGACUAUACUUCUAUAUGUAAAACAAAUCAAUCUUAGCUGUAAAUUUUUAGUUUAUGGAUUUCUAUAUAAACUAAACUUAAAUAGGAGAUUUUAGCAUUAAAAUUCAAUCAAAUAUGAUGUAAAAAUUAUAAUUUAAAUUUUAAAAAAUUAGCAUUUCAAACAAAUUACGCAGAUAAAUAAACUAUAUUUGCUUCAAAAUCUACACUACUAGUACUUAAAAUACAUUUUAGUUUUCUUUCUUCUAAAUUGCAUGCUUAUUAUAAAUUUAUAUAUGAUUCACAUAAUGUUGCAUUCAAACUGGUCUGUCUUGGACUUCACGGUUCAAACCUCGGAGUUGUAUGCUCUAAUGAAUCACAACAUCUUCAUUUCUUAAUAAUAAUCGUCCAUUCUGCGAGUUCUUUGAGUCGGCCUCUUUAGCUUUUGAUUAAGUUUGCACAUUUUUCCAAUUGUCAAGUACGAACGAUUAAACAAUUGGGAUCAUCUUGCGGCCGGCCUUCCCAAGUUUUCUUUGACUCUUGAUAUAAUAGAGGUAUGCACAUUUUCCUUUGUGACUACUCAAUUGACCACACCUUAUUUGACUAGGUGCUUUAAACGUCUACUUGGAGACGCAGAUAACAAGAAUAAACAUCUAAGUUUGGAUCAAGCUUCUUAAUAGUUGAAUCAUCAUCAUCAUCUAUAGCUUUUCCUUCAACUUCUUAAUUUUGUACCUUCUCUCGAUGAUCUCUUACAAAGUUUUGACGAAUGGAUAAGACACUCAAAGAAUGUAACUCAAGAUUCUACUCCACAUAAACCAAAACAGCACAAGAAAUAGAUAUACAACUUGUGAUUUAUCAUAUCAUCUACAAGGGUCUGGACAAACAUCAUUCUCUGGCAAGCUUAAGAAAACUUGUGCUCUCUCUAUUACAGCAUUUUGUAACAAGAAGAUUGUCUAUCAUACCCUUGUUGAAUCUUCUACAAGAGUUAGUUUUUUUAACUAAGAAACACGCUCCAAAUGAAUACUACACUUGUCUCUCACUUAUAAAAUUGCUUAAAGAAGCUCCACAUUCUCAACAUAGUUGAGAUAGGUGUUUAUCAUCUCACCCUGAAACGCUUCCAUUCCUUGGAUUCCGACUUUUCUGAUCGUCUUGCUCUUGACAUUGAAGUAGAUGACAUAGGAAGGCACUAUUUGGCAGUGCGGGGAGAAGACGAUUUCUUUGGUACCAACCAUUCCAGCGAUGUACAUGGGCCCCGUAACCAAAUCAUUCCACGAAGGUGGUAAUACGUAUACACGCUUGGACCA